GAGGAAAUUAAGGGGUUACUGCUAAUAAUCUCUCGUCAUUUAGUUUUGACUUUCUCUUA
rnacentral:tRNA from 1 species